rnacentral:rRNA from 1 species
GCCAUGCAUGUCUCAGUACAUGCCUAAUUAAGGUGAAACCGCGAAUGGCUCAUUAAAUCAGUUAUGGUUCCUUAGAUCGUACCCACAUUUACUUGGAUAACUGUGGUAAUUCUAGAGCUAAUACAUGCAAACUAGAAUUCCGACCAGAGAUGGAAGGAAUGCUUUUAUUAGAUCAAAACCAAUCGGUGGUAUAUAAUUUAUUAUAUAUCCAUCGUUAAUUUUGAUGACUCUGAAUAACUUUGUGCUGAUCGCAUGGUCUUGUACCGGCGACGAAUCUUUCAAAUGUCUGCCUUAUCAACUGUCGAUGGUAGGUUCUGCGCCUACCAUGGUUGUAACGGGUAACGGGGAAUCAGGGUUCGAUUCCGGAGAGGGAGCCUGAGAAACGGCUACCACAUCCAAGGAAGGCAGCAGGCGCGCAAAUUACCCACUCCCGGCACGGGGAGGUAGUGACGAAAAAUAACGAUACGGGACUCAUCCGAGGCCCCGUAAUCGGAAUGAGUACACUUUAAAUCCUUUAACGAGGAUCCAUUGGAGGGCAAGUCUGGUGCCAGCAGCCGCGGUAAUUCCAGCUCCAAUAGCGUAUAUUAAAGUUGUUGCGGUUAAAAAGCUCGUAGUUGAAUUUGUGUGCCACGCUGUCGGUUCAUCGCUCGCGAUGUUUAACUGGCAUGAUUGUGGGACGUCCUACCGGUGGAUUUAGCUUUAUAUAUUUUUAAAUAUAUUUAGCGAUCCAGUUUAUAUCCCGUCGCGGUGCUCUUUAUUGAGUGUCGAGGUGGGCCGGUACGUUUACUUUGAACAAAUUAGAGUGCUUAAAGCAGGCUUUUUUUGCCUGAAUACUGUGUGCAUGGAAUAAUAAAAUAGGACCUCGGUUCUAUUUUGUUGGUUUUCGGAACCCCGAGGUAAUGAUUAAUAGGACAGAU